rnacentral:rRNA from 1 species
UACGAGGGGGGCAAGCGUUGUUCGGAAUUACUGGGCGUAAAGGGUUCGUAGGUGGCCAACUAAGUCAGACGUGAAAUCCCUCAGCUUAACUGGGGAACUGCGUCUGAGACUGGAUGGCUUGAGUGCAGGAGAGGAACGCGGAAUUCCAGGUGUAGCGGUGAAAUGCGUAGAUAUCUGGAGGAACACCGGUGGCGAAGGCGGCGUUCUGGACUGCAACUGACACUGAGGAACGAAAGCCAGGGGAGCAAACAGG